GACGAACGCUGGCGGCGUGCUUAACACAUGCAAGUCGAACGGAAAGGCCCCUUUUGGGGUACUCGAUUGGCGAACGGGUGAGUAACACGUGAGUAACCUGCCCUUGACUUCGGUUUAACUUCAGUAAACUGGGUCUAAUACCCGCUUGGAAUCCUUUCUUCAUGGUGGGGGUUGGAAAGCUUCUGGGGUUUUGGAUGGACUCGCGGGUUAUCAGCUUGUUGGUGGGGUAGUGGCUUACCAAGGCUUUGACGGGUAGCCGGCCUGGGAGGGCGACCGGCCAAAAUGGGACUGAGGAAAGGCCCAGACUCCUAAGGGAGGGAGAAGGGGGGAAAAUUGGACAAAGGGCGGGAGGCUGAUGCAGAAAAGCCGCGGGCGGGAAGACGGGCUUGGGGGUGUAAAACGGUUUCAGCAGGGGCGAAGCUUGUGGUGACGGUACCUGAAGAAGAAGCACCGGCUAACUACGUG
rnacentral:rRNA from 1 species